UAAUCCGUGCAACUAAAUUUGAACAUGUAUCGUCAUGGCGGCAAAGUUUUGGUUACGAAGGGUUUGGCGGGUUAGGCGAGAACCGGCCGGCAUUGGUUCGUUCCAAAGUGCACCUUCAUCUGUUACGUUAUGUUGUAGUCGUCCGCUAGUGCCGCCAGCCCGCCGCGUGAAUCCUGCUGGCCUAGCGACUCGCUGUAGCUAUGGGCUAACUGGUGUUCGUUCGUUCACACGUGGAGUUGUCUGGUGAUGUGUGCUGCAGUGCCGAUACUGUGUUGUAGAAAAUCUGUUUGUGGGAAAUCGUGUCGAAUCCUAGUGUCGUUACCUCUUCUGGAUAUCUUCGCAUGUCUUAAGGCACAACAUAUAAGAUGAGAGUCCGUAGUAUCCGAUACAGUUGUAAAUCGACGUUUACGGCCCCAAACUAGCGAAAGCAAGAAUUCUACAUACUCCCUCCUUCCGUCCCGUAAAACACCCGUAUUUACGACUAAGAUGUUAUACCGAUUUUAAGAUUCGUCUGUCCUCGAACUUUAUAUUGGAGUAUUCUUACGUUUGAGAGUUCUCACGUGUCAACGGCCUCGAUCGCGAUCCUGCUUGCAACACGUUUGAAGGAUCUGCACACAUUAGCGGCGCUGGUCGGUAACCGUUUUGGCGAGCGUUGCCGCUCGCCAGCGCAUCUUUAAGCAUACGUAUCACAUCGACGAUGACGGCCACUGUAGACUUCCGGCGUUCGGACCACGAGCGGGAAGUUGCUCCUGCCGCACGUGGACGCGACGAAUCACUCUGUCUCUCAGAACUCAUGGACGAAAUUCUCGAAAACGAUGCGGGCAUCCUUGACCAGGCGAACGACUUCAUGCAUUUACUUCCAGGCGUUGACGAUAUGGGAAAUAUGGCCAGCUUCCAUCUCGACCCAUUUUCUGUUUUCGAAGAAGAAGACAUUGAGCCAGUGGUGGGUUCUUUCAUAAUUGCCCAUUCGCAUGCUUUGGGCAUAGAUUGUCGGGGAGGACGUUGCCUUUGGACAGACGCGUUUAUUUUUACAAAAAGGGAAAUGCGGUAAAAUUAUUGAAAAAUAAUAAUAAACAAAAGCGUCUGAACAACGAGAAUACUAAUCAAGAAGUUGUAAGUGUGCUUGAUUAAUUGAGAUGGUGAAUCUAGCAUUUGUACGCAAGUUCGAUACACGGAGACGUUCAUUAACAAAGUAGAGCUCGUGUUACACCAACAAGACUGUAGUCUCCAUGAAUGGGCGCUAGUGCCCUGAAAAAAGUUUACGCUUCCGGGAAAACUGGAAAAAAUCUAUCUUGCUAUAUUCUCAAUGAUGAUUCUCGACUAGCGAAAGGAUUCUGUAUUGUUCUUUCUUUUCUUAUCGUUUAUUAGACUUCUUGACCUCAAUCUCAGCUAGGCGGUCCAUUGAGCCGAUGUGCGCAACACAUGAGAAAAAUUUAUGCUCUAUGCAUAUGGGCAUUGAAGAGCGCAUAGUUAUAUGCAUUGUUCUGGUUCAGUAUGUACAUUUCUGGUACAAACGUGCCUUGGAGAAGGCGAUUAUCCUAUGCAUGAGAAAUCGCGAAA